ensembl:lncRNA LINC02614 long intergenic non-protein coding RNA 2614
ACCUGCGGAGGGUUUGAGGCAGGCCCAGGAGCGAGCCCACGGUCUGCCGACGCGGGGCCAGCGGCGGGCCCCAGGAUCCGGAGCUUCGGGCGGGGCCGAGUCCAGGCUUUGGUAUCAGGAUGAUGCUGGCCUCAUAAAACAAGUUAGGGAGGAUUCUCUCUUUUUCUAUUGUUUGGAAUAGUUUCAGAAGGAAUGGUACCAGCUCCUCCUUAUACCUCUGGUAGAAUUCGGCUGUGAAUCCAUCUGGUCCUGGACUCUUUUUGGUUGGAAUGACGGACGCUGGGGCUUUGAUGGGCACCGGGUGAAAUGGGCAGAGUGGCGCUUACCCGGGAUGGCGGUGAAGCGGGACCGGGAGGUCAUCGUGACAAAGGGUGGCAUGAGGUACCUGGCCUUGACGCCCUCCCCGGCUAGACGGUCCAGAUUGGGGGUGUCCACAUCCUGAUCCUAGUCCCAGCGGAAGCCCUGGAAGGAGAUCAGCAGCAGCUAAACUCCUGGAGGGCAGAGCCAUGCCUGCCAUUUUCAUCAUUGCAUUACCACCACCCAGCACAGUGCCUGGUACAAAAGAGUUGCUCAAUAAAUAAAUCAGGAUGAAUGGACAAAUACACGGAUAGGCACUUUGAACUACAGAUGAGCUUAAAUACUUUGUGUUUUUCUUAGUCAAACAUGUGCAAUUAAGCAUGUGAUAAAUUAUAUGAUGACCAC